rnacentral:rRNA from 1 species
UGGGGAAUAUUGGACAAUGGGCGAAAGCCUGAUCCAGCCAUGCCGCGUGUGUGAAGAAGGUCUUCGGAUUGUAAAGCACUUUAAGUUGGGAGGAAGGGCAUUAACCUAAUACGUUAGUGUUUUGACGUUACCGACAGAAUAAGCACCGGCUAACUCUGUGCCAGCAGCCGCGGUAAUACAGAGGGUGCAAGCGUUAAUCGGAAUUACUGGGCGUAAAGCGCGCGUAGGUGGUUUGUUAAGUUGGAUGUGAAAUCCCCGGGCUCAACCUGGGAACUGCAUUCAAAACUGACUGACUAGAGUAUGGUAGAGGGUGGUGGAAUUUCCUGUGUAGCGGUGAAAUGCGUAGAUGUAGGAAGGAACACCAGUGGCGAAGGCGACCACCUGGACUAAUACUGACACUGGGGUGCGAAAGCGUGGGGAGCAAACA